UAAGGAAUCUUCCACAAUGGGCGAAAGCCUGAUGGAGCAACGCCGCGUGCAGGAUGAAGGUUUUCGGAUCGUAAACUGCUUUUAUUAGUGAAGAAUAUGACGGUAACUAAUGAAUAAGGGUCGGCUAACUACGUGCCAGCAGCCGCGGUCAUACGUAGGACCCAAGCGUUAUCCGGAGUGACUGGGCGUAAAGAGUUGCGUAGGUGGUUAUAUAAGUGAAUAGUGAAAUCUGGAGGCUCAACCUUACAGACUAUUAUUCAAACUGUAUAACUCGAGAACAGCAGAGGUAACUGGAAUUUCUGAAGUAGGGGUAAUAUCCGUAGAUAUCAGAAGGAACACCAAUGGCGUAGGCAGGUUACUGGGCUGUUUCUGACACUGAGGCACGAAAGCGUGGGGAGCGAACC
rnacentral:rRNA from 1 species